GGAUAUAUGGGGUCAUAUAGGGACGUAUGGGGACAUACUGGGAUAUAUGGGGUCAUAUAGAGUUGUAUGGGGACAUAUGGGGAUAUGUGGGGUCAUAUAAGCACAUAUAGGGAUAUAUGGGGUUAUAUAAGAACGUAUGGGGCCAUAUGGGGCUGUAUGAGACCAUAUGAGGCCAUAUGAGGCUGUAUGGGGCUACAUGGGGCUUUAUGGGGUCUUAUGAGGUCUUAUGGGGCUAUAUGGGGCCUUACGAGGUUUUAUGGGGCCGUAUGGGGCCAUAUGGGACCCUAUGGGGCCUUACGUGACUAUAUGGGGCCUUAUAGGGCCAACUGGGGCUGUAUGGAGCCGUUUGAGGCCUUACGUGGCUGUAUGGGGACGUAUGGGGCUAUAUGGGGCCAUAUGGGGCUGUAUGGGUUUGUAUGGGGCCUUAUGGGGCCGUAUGGGACUGCAUGGGGCCUUAUGGGGCUGUAUGGGGCCGUAUUGGCCAUAUGAGACCAAAUGGGGCCAUAUGGGGCCAUACAGGGCUGUAUGGGGCUCUAUGGGGCCAUAUAGGGCUGUACGGAGCCAUAUGGGGCCAUAUUGGGCUGUACGGAGCCAUAUGGGACUGUAUGGGGCUAUAUGGGGCCAUAUGGGGCUAUACAGGUUCGUAUAGGGCCUUAUGGGGCUUUAUUGGGGCUACAUUGGUUCAUAUGGGGCUGUAUGGGGCUAUAUGGGGCCAAAUGGGGCCAUAUGAGGCCGCAUGGGACUGUAUGGGGCUAUAUGGGGCUGUAUGGGGCCAUAUGGGGCCAUACGGAGCCAUAUGGGACUGUAUGGGGCUAUAUGCGGCCAUAUAGGACUAUAUGGGCCCAAAUGGGGCCGUAUGAGGCCAUAUGGGGCCAAAUGGGGCCGUAUGGGGCCAGAUGGGACUAUAUGGGGCCAAAUGGGGCCAUAUGAGGCUAUAUGGGGCCGUAUGGGGCUCUAUGGGGCCAUAUGAGGCCAUAUGGGGCCACACAGGGCCUUAUGGGGCUCUAUGGGGCCAUAUAGGGCCGUAUGGGGCCGUGACGCACCAUAGGGGCACAUUGAAGCGCUGCAGGAGGCGGCUGAGCAGACGGCGGCACUGUGGGUCGGACAGCAGCCCCAUAGCGGCACCUCCGGGAGGGCCUCAGCCCCACAACUGCGGGGCGCACAGUUCAGGACCCCAUAAGGGAGACCCACAGAAACCCCACAGACCCCCAACCGCCCCGCAUCACCCCACAGACCACAGAACCACCCCAUAACCCCGUAUCUGCCCCAUAACCACCCCAUAGACCCCAUAUCUACCCCAUAUCAUCCCCACAACCACCCCACAGACCCCAUAAUCACCCCAUAUCUGCCCCAUAACCACCCCAUAGACCCUAUAUCUGCCCCAUAACCCCAUACCUGCCCCAUAACCACCCCACAGCCCCAUAUCAGCCCCCCAACUGCCCCACAUCGCCCCACAGACCGCAGAACCGCCCCAUAACCCCGUAUCUGCCCCCAAACCAUCCCAUAGACCCCAUAUUUACCCCAUAACCCCAUAUCUGCCCCAUAACCCCGUACCUGCCCCAUAACCACCCCACAGCCCCAUAUCAGCCCCUCCAACCGCCCCAUAUCACCCCACAGACCGCAGAACCGCCCCAUAACCCCGUAUCUGCCCCAGAACCACCCCAUAGACCCCAUAUCUACCCCAUAUCUUCCCCACAACCACCCCACAGACCCCAUAAUCACCCCACAGCCCCAUAACAACCCCAUAGACCCCAUAUCUACCCCAUAACCCCAUACCUGCCCCAUAACCACCCCACAGCCCCAUAUCAGCCCCCCAACUGCCCCACAUCGCCCCACAGACCGCAGAACCGCCCCAUAACCCCGUAUCUGCCCCCAAACCAUCCCAUAGACCCCAUAUUUAUCCCAUAACCCCAUAUCUGCCCCAUAACCCCAUACCUGCCCCAUAACCACCCCACAGCCCCAUAUCAGCCGCCCCAAUUGCCCCACAUCACCCCACAGACCGCAGAACCACCCCAUAACCCUGUAUCUGCCCCAAAACCAUCCCAUAGACCCUAUAUCCGCCCCAUAACCCCAUAUCUGCCCCAAAACCACCCCAUAGACACCAUAUCUACU
ensembl:lncRNA